CAGCAGCAGCCGCGGGAAAACAGAGGGUGCGAGCGUUAAUCGGAUUUACUGGGCGUAAAGCGUGCGUAGGCGGCUUUUUAAGUCGGAUGUGAAAUCCCUGAGCUUAACUUAGGAAUUGCAUUCGAUACUGGGAAGAUAGAGUAUGGGAGAGGAUGGUAGAAUUCCAGGUGUAGCGGUGAAAUGCGUAGAGAUCUGGAGGAAUACCGAUGGCGAAGGCAGCCAUCUGGCCUAAUACUGACGCUGAGGUACGAAAGCAUGGGGAGCAAACAGGAUUAGAUACCCCUGUAGUCCCUGUCUCUUAUAC
rnacentral:rRNA from 1 species